rnacentral:lncRNA from 1 species
CGAAAAAUACAAAGAUUAGCCAGGUGUGGUGGCCAGCAUCUGUAAUCCCAGAUACUUGGGAGGCUGAGGUGGAAGGAUCGCUUGAGCUGGGAGGUUGAGGCUGCAGUGAGCUGUGAUUGCACCACUGCAUUGUAGCCUGGGUGACACAGCGAGACCCUGUCUCAAAAAACAAAAACAAAAACAAAACCCAAAAAACAAAAAACAAGCCAACAAAUAACAGUUUUUUUUUGUUUUUUCAAACAGGAUUUUGUGAAUAGAGACUAUAAAGCACUCCUGUAUCCUUGGCCCCAAAGAGGGCUCUCCAGACAGAAAGUUGCCUGCAUGUCCCGAACCAUGGUGAAAGAUAAGCAGAUGGGAAAAGAGAGCCCAGAAAUCUGCAAUGUGGGAUAUCCUGAAGAGAGCUCAGACUUCUGGUUCAGCAAUUGAUCUGAGGCCA